rnacentral:rRNA from 1 species
AACUAACAAGGAUUCCCUCAGUAACGGCGAGUGAAGAGGGAAGAGCUCAGUUUUGAAAUCUGGCAGUCAUUCACUGUCCGAGUUGUAAAUUGAAGAGAUUGUCAUCCACACUGGACCAUGUCUAAAUUGUAAUGAUCCACAGUCCUUUGAUGGAGUAUCAGAGAGGGUAAUAAUCCCGUCUUUAACGUGGACUCCCAGUGUUUAUGUGAUGCAUUCUCUCAGAGUCGAGUAGUUUGGGAAUGCUGCUCUAAUGGGAGGUAAACUCCUUCUAAAGCUAAAUAUUGGCGAGAGACCGAUAGCGAACAAGUACCGUGAGGGAAAGAUGAAAAGAACUCUGAAAAGAGAGUCAAACAGAACGUGAAAUUGCUGAAAGGGAAGCGUUUGGAGUCAGAUGCGUCUUCAUGGAAUAACGGCUUCUGCAAAGAAGGUCAGUGACUUGAAGAUGGGCCAGCACUCACGUAGACCAUUGGAAAAGGGGUCAUUGGAAUGUAGCUCACUUGUUGAGUGAUUAUAGCCUUGAUUCAUAUACAAUGUGUGUGUUAUGUGAGAUAGACAGCACGACUCACUCAGUCAGUGCUUGCUUGAUUGGCAUAAUGGCUCUAAGCGACCCGUCUUGAAACACGGACCAAGGAGUCUAACAUGUAUGCGAGUAUUAGAGUGAUUGAAACUCUGAAUGCGCAAUGAAAGUGGUCUUUGACUGAGAAUCCUCAGUUAGGGGAGGCAUCAGUACCCCGAGUCUGCUAGUCUUUGACUAAAGAUUUGGAGGUAGAGCAUAUAUGUUGGGACCCGAAAGAUGGUGAACUAUGCCUGAAUAGGGUGAAGUCAGAGGAAACUCUGAUGGAGGCCCGUAGCGAUUCUGACGUGCAAAUCGAUCGUAGAAUUUGGGUAUAGGGGCGAAAGACUAAUCGAACCAUCUAGUAGCUGGUUCCUGCCGA